CACUGUGGGAAGAUCAUCUGGGUCAAUGAGUCAAUCACCUACAAGUGGCAGGAUGCCCACUGCUUUGAUAAAUUGCCUUUCAUCUGCCAAGAUACAACAUAAAGACUGUAUACUGGAGGACUGCUAACUACAAGAGUCAUAUUCAAAUUCUUCCUCCUCUUCUCCAUCUUCUCCCUUUGACAUUGAUUAUAUUUGAAUAGACCUAAGAUUUUUUCAUACUGUUUUUAUACUCAGUAUACCCUUUCCAAUAACUUUUUUUCUCUGUAAUAUGUAGGUACUGUGAGUAAUGUAACGUAAGCAUUUGUUUAUUAUCAUUCAUCCAAUAAAAACUAUAUCGAUUUGAUCAA